UGGCAGCCCAAAAUCGAAAGGGGCAGAAGUACCUAGAAACCCUAGACUUCCAAACCUUGUCAUCUAUACCAAACCAGUCACGUAUACGGUAUACCCAUUUCAUUUCUCUUUCUCUCUCUCACAUUAUCCCUUAGCAAGCGCCAAACGUCUGCAUAUUCAAAGCUUCUUACAAUCUUCGAUUGCUUUGUCUCUCAUCUGUUAGACAUUUGCCGCAUUUCGUCUCCUUUACCAGAUUGAAGAGAUUGGUAGAAGCUUUUGGAGAAGAAAUGCUGAUACUUAUUUUUCCAAGACUGGGAAAUAUACCAUUUCAAGUCGCAUUGGAAAAAGUUCUAUAUCCACUUAACAACUACGAUCUUUUGACAAGAGGGGAUGUCUUAUUUACAUUGGCUCUCUCAAAUCUUUGAAUCUGAUGUGCAAGAUUGUCUAUUUAGUGCUCCUUAGUUAAACUUUUACACAUUUGGAGGUUACCGUCAAAUGUCAGAAGGUGAAAUGGAAAUAAUCAAACCAGAGGUCAUGAAAUCUUAUAUUUGGCUCCAAACCGCUGAUGGCUCAAUACAAGAAGUGGAAGAAGAGGUUGCCAUGUUUUGCCCUAUGAUAUGUCGAGAAAUAGUUCAGACAGGAAUGGGAUCUUCUAAAAAUUAUGCUAUUUCACUUCCGCAAAGGGUUAAUCCAGCUAUUUUGAGUUUAAUACUGGACUAUUGUCGGUUCCAUCAAGUACCAGGUCGCUCCAAUAAGGAGCGAAAGUCUUUUGACGAGAAGUUCAUUCGGAUAGACACAAAAAGAUUAUGUGAGUUGACAUCUGCUGCUGACAGCCUCCAGUUGAAGCCUUUGGUUGAUCUUACAAGCCGUGCUCUUGCACGCAUGAUUGAAGGGAAAACCCCUGAGGAGAUACGUGAGACAUUUCAUUUGCCUGAUGAUCUUACGGAGGAGGAAAAGCUGGAGCCUUUGAGAAACACAGCAGAUGACCCUCGGAUUCGGCUAUUGAAUAGGCUUUAUGCCAGAAAGAGGAAAGAACUUAAAGAGAAAGAAAAAAUGAAGAAUGUUGAAGUAGAAGAGGAGCGUGUGGACGAACGCUCCGUUGAUGAUCUCUUGUCAUUCAUCAAUGGAGGUGAUGGAGGUUCCAAGGGAGUUAGAGCUCCUAAACAUAAGAAGAAAAACCGAAGAAGGAAAGACCAUUCAAAAGAUCCUUCAUCAAACAAUGUAAACAAAAGCCACAAGGAGAUGGAUGAUCUCUCUCCUGUAUGCCGUAAAGAAGAUAAGUCUAGAAAUGGUUAUGUGGCCAGUCCCAGUAAAUCGGUUAAAUUUCAAGCUGCAGAUGAUGGCUUUUCCCCAAAGGUUGAGUUUGAUGAUGGUGAUAUGGACGAUGAAUUAGAUCCUGCAAUGAAGGAAGAACUUGAUAGAUUGUGGGGCCGUCGCUUUGUGUGAAGUUGGAUGGUGGAAAGCUCAAGCUUCCAGCUUGAAGACAUGGGUUCGAGUCUUAAGAGUGGCCACUUUGUGCGGAAGGGAAACCAAUGUUUUGCACCGCUUCUGAUCCAACCCUCCCAUGACCCUACUAAUCAAGUUGCAGCCCCUUUUUCCUUAUCUACUGCCUUAGAAAGGUUUAUCGGAUAUGGUCUUAGUAAGUAGCGUUGAAGUGGAUAUCAUGCAAUGUCUAUUGGUUAUGAUAUAUGGAGUGGAAUGUUGGGUAGUUAAGAAGCAUCAUGUAGAAAAACUUAGUGUAGCGGAGAUGAGGAUGUUGAAGUGGUAAAACGAGGAAGGCUAAAGGCAGGAUUGAUCAUAUUAGAGUUGGUAUGAGAGUAGCUCCAUACUUGAUAAGUGAUGCGGAUCCGGGUUUGGGUUCCAAAAGUCGGAAUCGGAUCUCUUAUGGGCCCACAAUUAACAAAUAAUUCAAUUUAAACAAAACAGUGGCAGUAAUGUAAUUUAUGGCACAACUUAAAAACCCCUUUUAGAAUGAAAUAGCUGAAUGGGGACAGAUCUGGAAUUAAUCCGAAAGAAAACUCAAUUCUGGAAAUUUAUUUGGUGUUUCUAAUAAAGAGUGGGAGAAUUGUAAUUAUAAGUCACCAAGCUAAUAAAUAGGAGACAAGGAAUAACGUGAGAUGAGGGAGGGGUAUUCCUGGAAAGAUGGGUAAAAACUGAUACUUAAGGUAAUAACCAAGUAAAGGGAAGGGCAAUAGAGGAACAAAAGAAAUUAGGGUAAGAUACCACUCAUGAUAGAAAGUAUUCUUCCUUAAGAUCAAAACAGGGCAGGCGAUGAUGAGAAACUUCAGUUCAAGAGGGCUUCUCAGUUAGGCUUCGGCUUGGCCUAAACCCUCAAAGGAAAGGUCGCUGCUGCAUGUCGUCUAUGAAUCCAGCACCACAAGACCUCAACAGCCCAGAUCUGAAUGUGAAUCGAAUCUGCAACUAGGCUUGGUGGUGGGAAGUGGAGGAUUUUGCUAGGAGACUGAAUUCAGACUGGCCUGAGAGGAUGCAAGAGAUUCUUUCUUCGGGUCAAGAAAGAAGGCUUGUACCAAUAUCUAUGAAUGGCAAUGGUUCCUUGCAAAGAUAU